rnacentral:rRNA from 1 species
UACGUAGGGACCAAGCGUUGUCCGGAAUUAUUGGGCGUAAAGAGCUCGUAGGCGGCUGUCCACGUCGGAUGUGAAAGCUCGGGGCUCAACCCUGAGAGGCCAUUCGAUACGGGAUAGCUAGAGGUAGGUAGGGGAGAUUGGAAUUCCUGGUGUAGCGGUGAAAUGCGCAGAUAUCAGGAGGAACACCGGUGGCGAAGGCGGAUCUCUGGGCCUUACCUGACGCUGAGGAGCGAAAGCUGGGGGAGCAAACAGG